rnacentral:rRNA from 1 species
GACGGGGCCCGCACAAGCGGAGGAGCAUGUGGUUUAAUUCGAUGAUACGCGAGGAACCUUACCUGGGCUCGAACGUAAGAUGACUGUAGGUGAAAGCUUACAUCUCUUCGGAGCAUUUUACGAGGUGCUGCAUGGUUGUCGUCAGCUCGUGCCGUGAGGUGUCGGGUUAAGUCCCAUAACGAGCGCAACCCUACCUUUAGUUGCCAUCAGGUAAUGCUGGGGACUCUAAAGGAACUGCCUACGCAAGUAGUGAGGAAGCGGGGAUGACGUCAAAUCAGCACGGCCCUUACGUCCAGGGCUACACACGUGCUACAAUGGCCGAUACAGAGGGCAGCUACCUGGUGACAGGAUGCAAAUCUCCAAAGUCGGUCUCAGUUCGGAUCGGAGUCUGCAACCCGACUCCGUGAAGUUGGAUUCGCUAGUAAUCGCGCAUCAGCCAUGGCGCGGCGAAUACGUUCCCGGGCCUU